UUUCGCCUUAGAGUUUGAUCCUGGCUCACGACGAACGCUGGCGGCGCGCCUAACACAUGCAAGUCGAACGAGCGAGAGAGAGCUUGCUUUCUCGAGCGAGUGGCGAACGGGUGAGUAACGCGUGAGGAAUCUGCCUCAAAGAGGGGGACAACAGUUGGAAACGACUGCUAAUACCGCAUAAGCCCGCGGCUCGGCAUCGAGCAGAGGGAAAAGGAGCAAUCCGCUUUGAGAUGGCCUCGCGUCCGAUUAGCUAGUUGGUGAGGUAAUGGCCCACCAAGGCGACGAUCGGUAGCCGGACUGAGAGGUUGAACGGCCACAUUGGGACUGAGACACGGCCCAGACUCCUACGGGAGGCAGCAGUGGGGAAUAUUGCACAAUGGGGGAAACCCUGAUGCAGCGACGCCGCGUGGAGGAAGAAGGUCUUCGGAUUGUAAACUCCUGUUGUUGAGGAAGAUAAUGACGGUACUCAACAAGGAAGUGACGGCUAACUACGUGCCAGCAGCCGCGGUAAAACGUAGGUCACAAGCGUUGUCCGGAAUUACUGGGUGUAAAGGGAGCGCAGGUGGGAAGACAAGUUGGAAGUGAAAUCUAUGGGCUCAACCCAUAAACUGCUUUCAAAACUGUUUUUCUUGAGUAGUGCAGAGGUAGGCGGAAUUCCCGGUGUAGCGGUGGAAUGCGUAGAUAUCGGGAGGAACACCAGUGGCGAAGGCGGCCUACUGGGCACCAACUGACGCUGAGGCUCGAAAGUGUGGGUAGCAAACAGGAUUAGAUACCCUGGUAGUCCACACGGUAGACGAUGAUUACUAGGUGUUGGAGGAUUGACCCCUUCAGUGCCGCAGUUAACACAAUAAGUAAUCCACCUGGGGAGUACGACCGCAAGGUUGAAACUCAAAGGAAUUGACGGGGGCCCGCACAAGCAGUGGAGUAUGUGGUUUAAUUCGACGCAACGCGAAGAACCUUACCAAGUCUUGACAUCCCUUGACGAUGCUGGAAACAGUAUUUCUCUUCGGAGCAAGGAGACAGGUGGUGCAUGGUUGUCGUCAGCUCGUGUCGUGAGAUGUUGGGUUAAGUCCCGCAACGAGCGCAACCCUUACUGUCAGUUACUACGCAAGAGGACUCUGGCAGGACUGCCGUUGACAAAACGGAGGAAGGUGGGGAUGACGUCAAAUCAUCAUGCCCUUUAUGACUUGGGCUACACACGUACUACAAUGGCGUUAAACAAAGAGAAGCAAGACCGCGAGGUGGAGCAAAACUCAGAAACAACGUCCCAGUUCGGAAUGCAGGCUGCAACUCGCCUGCACGAAGUCGGAAUUGCUAGUAAUCGUGGAUCAGCAUGCCACGGUGAAUACGUUCGCCGGGCCCUUGUACACACCGCCCGUC
rnacentral:rRNA from 1 species